GGGGGUUUUUAUUAGAUAUAAAAAACAAUGCCCUUCGGGGGUCCUUGGUGAUUUCAUAAUAACUUCACGAAUCGCAGGCCCUUGCGCCGGCGAUGGUUCAUUCAAAUUUCUGCCCUAUCAACUUUCGAUGGUAGGAUAGUGGCCUCCCAUGGUGUCAACGGGUAACGGGGGAUUAGGGCUCGAUUCCGGAGAGGGACCCUGAGAAACGGCUCCCCCACCCAAGGAAGGCAGCAGGCGCGCAAAUUACCCAAUCCCGACCCGGGGAGGUAGUGACAAUAAAUACUGAUACAGGGCUCUUUGGGGUCUUUUAAUUGGAAGGAGUCCAAUUUAAAUCCCUUAACGAGGACCAAUUGGGGGCCAAGUUUGGUCCCACCCGCCGCGGUAAUUCCAG
rnacentral:rRNA from 1 species